GAGGUGACAGAGGUGUCACCAGGAUGUUUUAUUGUCCUGAGCCAAACUCGUGACCCCGGGGUUGGGACACAAAGGUGACAGAGGUGUCACCAAGAUGUUUUAUUGUCCUGAGCCAAACUCCUGACCCCGGGGUUGGGACACACAGGUGACACAGGAGGUGACACAGGUGACACAGAUGUCACCAGGAUGUUUUAUUGUCCUGAGCCAGGCUCCUGACCGCGGGGUUGGGACACAAAGGUGACACACGUGACACAGGAGGUGACACAGGUGACAGAGGUGUCACCAGG